rnacentral:rRNA from 1 species
GACAUAGGUGGCAAACGUUAUCCGGAAUUACUGGGCGUAAAGAGUGCGUAGGUGGUUCAAUAAGUUACUGGUGGGAAAUCGGGGCUCAACCUCGUGGAAGUCAGUAAUACUAUUAAACUAGAGGGUCGGAGAGGUUAACGGAAUUCUAUGUGUAGCGGUAAAAUGCUUAAAUAUAUAGAGGAACACCAAACGGCGAAGGCAGUUAACUAGUCGAUUCCUGACGUUGAGGCACGAAAGCGUGGGGAGCAAGACGG